GAAAUGCGAUAAGUAGUGUGAAUUGCAGAAUUCAGUGAAUCAUCGAAUCUUUGAACGCACAUUGUGCCCCUUGGUAUUCCAUGGGGCAUGCCUGUUCGAGCGUCAUUUGUACCCUCAAGCUCUGCUUGGUGUUGGGUGUUUGUCCCCGUCUCCGCGCGUGGACUCGCCCCAAAGUGAUUGGCAGCCGGCGUACUGGUCCCGGAGCGCAGCACAUGUCGCGCAAACGAGUGCCUUGGUACGGCGGCGUCCAUAAGCCCCUCUCUCACGCUCUUGACCUCGGAUCAGGUAGGGAUACCCGCUGAACUUAAGC
rnacentral:misc_RNA from 1 species